rnacentral:rRNA from 1 species
UACGGAGGGUGCGAGCGUUAAUCGGAAUUACUGGGCGUAAAGGGCACGCAGGCGGUCUUUUAAGUCAGAUGUGAAAGCCCCGGGCUUAACCUGGGAAUAGCAUCUGAAACUGGUAGUCUAGAGUCCUGUAGAGGGGGGUAGAAUUCCAUGUGUAGCGGUGAAAUGCGUAGAGAUGUGGAGGAAUACCGGUGGCGAAGGCGGCCCCCUGGACAAGGACUGACGCUCAGGUGCGAAAGCGUGGGGAGCAAACAGG